AAAGUGCCCGUGGAAGCCGUUCCCUAGAGCCCGUGACGAAGGUCCUAGACGCCCUGGCGGAGGCGGUGAAGAAGUGGGAGGCGCAGGAGGAAGGCGCCGUUAG
rnacentral:lncRNA from 1 species